GACGAACGCUGGCGGCGUGCCUAAUACAUGCCAGUCGAGCGCACUCGCGUGGUGCUUGUAGGAGCUGGCUGCUGAGCGAAAGAGAGAUUAGUGAGUGGCGGAUGUGUGUGUAAGCGGUGGGUAACAUGUGGUAAAGAGUGGUAUUACCUCAGGAAACAGAUGCAAAUACGGCAUAAGACUUAACGCUGCAUGUGGAUGGCUCGAAGGAGGGUUUGCGCUGUCUUAUUAGGAUGGACCCGCGGAGCAUCAGUUAGGUGGUGAGGUAAAGGCUCACCAAGACCGUGAUGCAUAGCCGACCUGGGAGGGUAAUCGCCCACACUGGGACUGAGACACGGCCCAGACUCCUACGGGAGGCAGCAGUAGGGAAUCUUCGCCAAUGGACGAAAGUCUGAUGGGGCAACGCCGCGUGAGUGAAGAGGGUUUUCGGACCGUAAAACUCUGUUGUUGGGGAAGACUGUAUCUGAUAGGAACUGCUCAGGUAGUGACGGUAACCAACCAGAAAGCCACGGCUAACUACGUG
rnacentral:rRNA from 1 species